GAUGAACGCUGGCGGCGUGCCUAAUACAUGCAAGUCGAGCGAACGGACGAGAAGCUUGCUCCUCUGACGUUAGCGGCGGACGGGUGAGUAACACGUGGAUAACCUACCUAUAAGACUGGGAUAACUUCGGGAAACCGGAGCUAAUACCGGAUAAUAUAUUGAACCGCAUGGUUCAAUAGUGAAAGACGGUUUUGCUGUCACUUAUAGAUGGAUCCGCGCUGCAUUAGCUAGUUGGUAAGGUAACGGCUUACCAAGGCAACGAUGCGUAGCCGACCUGAGAGGGUGAUCGGCCACACUGGAACUGAGACACGGUCCAGACUCCUACGGGAGGCAGCAGUAGGGAAUCUUCCGCAAUGGGCGAAAGCCUGACGGAGCAACGCCGCGUGAGUGAUGAAGGUCUUCGGAUCGUAAAACUCUGUUAUUAGGGAAGAACAAAUGUGUAAGUAACUAUGCACAUCUUGACGGUACCUAAUCAGAAAGCCACGGCUAACUACGUG
rnacentral:rRNA from 1 species